rnacentral:lncRNA from 1 species
GAGCCAGAGAGAUGAAUUACAUCGGUUACUGAACAGGAGGUACGAGGUAGGAGGUGGUCAACAAGGCAAUGUACCUGAGAAUCCAAAUGAACUGCCCGCAAUUCGGGCACAUUUACAUGAACAUGAGUUACAUGAGUUACCGAUGAGGUUCAAUAAUAGAGAUGAACAAGGCAAUUAGUCUAAGAAUCUGAAUUAAAGCGAGUGAAUCACCUAAUUUGUAAUUUUUUGCUUCCACUAUGAUUGUGAUAUAUUGGUACUCUUUGUUGGAUCCUCCGUGACACUUUGUAAGCUGUAACCGAACUUUUAGUAUGAAGAUGUGAUACUAAGAAGGGUGUUCCAAAUCGUGAGGUAAAAACUCAAAUCUUGCUAUCUUAGAAAAUUCUACUCCCCCUUUCCACAAUCCUACUACAGUUCAUCCUCGUCAACAUAUUUGGAUUGUUCUACAUUUUGCUUUUGCUGUAGCAAGAUAGUCAUCGCCACUUUAAAUGUGUAUAACUUCACAAGUGCAAUAGCAGAUGUAUGCUACCUUUCAAUUUCUGAUAUGGGCUACAAAUCACUAGCUUUGAUUAAAAUAUCAUUACAAAGAAGGAAAAAAAAAUGAACUCUGUUAAAGGGACAUCAAGGAAACAUAAAAAAAGCUAGAGGUGUUAUUGUAAAUCAUAAAUCAGUUGCUACAUGUUUCAUUUUCUUUUCCUUGAUUUCUCUUCUUAGGACUUGCACCAGCAAGUUCUCUUCUGUUUCAUUUCAUGUUCGAACCUUUGUACUCUACUGUAAUUAUGACAUAUAAAUUGGAAUUCUGUGUUGGUUAUCUAUACACAUCUAAAAGUCGUCCCGGUUUAAAUUUUAGUUUAGGUCCUUCAGUAGUCAAACUUUUAGUAUGAGGGUAUACCUAAAGAGUGUGUCCAAAUGACCUAAAAUCAUGUCGUAGAACUCACAUUUGGCUGUCUUAUAAACUUCUAUUCACCGCUUCCACAGUCCCACUAGAAUUCCUCCUCGUUAAAGUGUUUACUAAGGGAUGCCAUUCACUAGAGAUCAUACAUAUUCUUUUAGGCAUUUCAACAAACAUGAAAUAGGCAUCAACACCAACAUUAACAAAAAAAAAAAACACAGAAUACCCCCUCAAACAAUAGUUUCUACAAUUGACCCCAAAAAAUAAACUGACACAUAAAUAGAACACAUUUUGUUAUAAGGAUUCCCAAUCAGGAUUAGGUCAGAUAUACUUGGUGUUGAACGAAUCCAAAGUGGUUGAUAUAAAUAGAAGAAAAAAAAACAUAUACAGCAAGUGGUAAUAUUAAAGCAAAAUGAGAGAGCGUUUACCUGAGUAAGAUUAACAGUCUCGAUCAUCCCCAUGGCCAGAGGCGUAGACGUGUCUGGCCGAGGUCUCUUUCACACUCUUCUUCUUCUUCUUCGCCCAGUCAAGUCAAUAUAAGAAAAUGAUCGAUAAAACCAAAUGUCCAGAUUCUAGUACUUUGUUCUCGUCCAACAGUAUCGGUUUAGAGAGCUUUUGGGGGCUGUUCUUGAUAGUGGGAAUUGCUGCAGCUUCAGCAUUGAUAAUCUACGCGAUCAAAUUCCUACGCGAAAAAUAGAGAUAGAGAGAGUGGCUGUGGAGGUGAUUGCGUGAAGUGAGCAGCAGAAUCAUCUAACGAACAUGAUUUUCGAUUUAGUCCGUCGACUUUUUCAGUGGCCUCUCCGUGUACUAAUGGCCCGACUUCUCGAGCCCAAAUGCGCAGAAUGUAGAUUUUCGAGCUAUGCAGCAAGAAAUCGAACUUGUCAAUCCGAAUCAAAACGAGCAAUUGUCAUCAACAACGGUGGACUUGGCGCAUGAAGUUCACUAAGUGUGGUAGCUUUAUCUUUCAUCUCAAUCAGAUAGGGGUAAGAUGACAUCUUGUAAUUUCAUUUCCAUUGUAGAAGAGUACUCUCAUCUAACAUUUCAAGAAGAAUAAAAGAAAAAAAGAUCUCGAUUAGUGUCUUGUUCCAAGAUAGUUCCUUAGGAGCUUUAAUGCCUGAAAUUUUGAUUUGCGAUAACACAUCAUUAGCAUUAAAACUAGCAUUGAUACAAUAUCGAAAAAAAUGUAAUUGUGUAGAAAUUCGGAGAAGGGCUGUUUAGGAAAAAUCACAAAGCUACAGAUUUCACCUUAAGUACGAGCUAAUAGAGGAAAAGAGAUGCAUGACUUGAGUAUGACAAUGGAAGAAUGCAGGCAAUUUCUAAGAGUUAAUAUUCUUGUAGGCAUUUCAACAAACAUGUACUAGGCAUCCACACAAUCCAUCAAUGCAAUCAUUAAAAAGAAUAUAAAUCAGUAAUUAUUAAUUACCAACAUCUCUGUCACGAGUGACGACAACUUGGAUUCUUCUUCUCAUAAAGUACUCCGAGGUUGUCAAUAUUAUCCGCUCUAGUUAGAUUUAAAUAUUUGCACUUGUAAUAAAUACAUUUUCAAUAUUCUGAGUAAGAGCACUUUGUUCACGUCUUCCCCUGCCUUGCCAAAUCAAUUACAUUUAUAACCAAUAAAUCUUUCAAAGUCAAAGUCAACCAUAGAAGUUGCUAAACAUGAUUAAUCACCCUAAUUGCCUCAUGUAAAUUUCAAAUUUCGAAGAGUUCGAGUUUUUUUUGUAAUAAGUCAAACCUCAAGAAUGAAUGAAUAAUUGUUUAUAAGGGUAAAUUACGGUCAUUCCCAUAGGGUAAUGCUAAAUUACGAAAAAAUCCCUCAUGUUUGGAUAUUUAUAAUCAAUUAAUCAUCCCCUCAAGUCCAUCCUUGCGGUGUCAAAUUUGGAAUCUUCCAUAAUCUAGAAGAUUACGUUGAAUUUGACACCGUAAGGGUGUACGCGUAGAAGAUUCAUAGUCGAUGGAUGGUUGUAAUUAUCCAAACAUAAGUGAGUUUGUCGUAAUUUAAUCUUAACUCGGGGGUGGCCGUAACAUAAAAAAAAAAUCAUUCUAAUCAAACCUUUUAACAAGCAUUUAUGAAAAUUUACAACAUCAACCAAUUUUGGAUAGCUCAUUGACUUUACAAAAGUAAACUCCCAUGAUUCUCCAAAGAAACUUCAAAAUACAAUAUAUUAGGACAGCUCAUUUUGGGUCCUACACCAUGUACUUAGUUCUGGAUGUAACAGUUCAAAUUCAAACAUCCAAAAACACAAUGCCCUGUGUAUGCAUUUUUUUUUGGUAAUCAAAUUAAAUCAUCAUCUAGAAAGAAAAAAAAAAGAAAUGGAGAAGAUCAAAACCUGCAGAUAUGUCAUUUUGCAUCUCUUCUGUUAUUUAUGUGCCGUGAUUUUCUCAACAAAAAUGGCAGCGGCACAGAACAUCUCUGUAAGAGUAGGAGUG